GACGAACGCUGGCGGCGUGCCUAAUACAUGCAAGUAGAACGCACAGUUUAUACCGUAGCUUGCUGCACCAUAAACUGUGAGUUGCGAACGGGUGAGUAACGCGUAGGUAACCUGCCUGGUAGCGGGGGAUAACUAUUGGAAACGAUAGCUAAUACCGCAUGAUAUUAAUUAUUGCAUGAUAAUUGAUUGAAAGAUGCAAUUGCAUCACUACCAGAUGGACCUGCGUUGUAUUAGCUAGUAGGUGAGGUAACGGCUCACCUAGGCGACGAUACAUAGCCGACCGGCGAGGGUGAGCGGCCAACCUGGGAGGGUGACCCGGCCCAGACGCCCACGGGAGGCAGCAGUAGGGAAUCUGCGGCAAUGGACGAAAGUCUGACCGAGCAACGCCGCGUGAGUGAAGAAGGUUUUCGGAUCGUAAAGCUCUGUUGUAAGAGAAGAACGGGUGUGAGAGUGGAAAGUUCACACUGUGACGGUAUCUUACCAGAAAGGGACGGCUAACUACGUG
rnacentral:rRNA from 1 species